UUUCGUUUUCGCCCAGGGAGUUUUUGGGGUUGUGCGUGGGCUCCCGGCGAAAGUUGCCAGGUCUAGGGGGACCGUCGGGGGAGGGGCUCGAUGCGGGUCUUCCCCCCUCCCCGCCCGCCACCGCAGGACCCCCGUCCGCUGAUGCCCCCCUCCCCGCGGCUGGGGGCGGAGUUGGCAGGCGGGGCGCAGCGGGGGACCCUAAGUGGGGGGCCCGUCGUGGGCGCCGCGGAGUUAGCGGGGAGGGCGGGGCUCCGGGAGAGGGUCCCCCCAACCAGGCCGGGCCUCCGCCCCCUCUCUGGCGGGGCUGGAGGCGGGUGGGCGCGGCCGGGGGUGCAGGACCCCCGAGCGCGCAGCUCGCGGGGGACCGGGGACGCGGAGUGGACGCCCGGCGGAGCGGGGCAGGGGUCGCGGCGGAUCCCGGGGGUACCCUGGCCCCGGCGAGCGCGGCGCGCCAGCUAGCGGAAAAUGGCCGCUGCGGAGAGGGGCGGAGAGCGCGCCGCGGCCGCCGCCGGGCGCCUUGAACUUGGAGCCAAGCGGGCGGCAGUGCUCGGCGCCGCGCAGGGACAGCCCCCAGGCCUGCCCUAGCGCCGCCUGAACCCCGCCCCCAAGCCGACCCCGGCCUAGCCGUGGCGCGCGCUGGGUCUCAGUCGGGAGAGUGGAGGGAGUCACCAGGUUUCCGCGCCGCGCGUCCCAGGCCCGCCAGCGUCGGUGGCUGCAUUUGAGGGUUCCGGUGUCCGGUCCGCGGGCGUCGGUGGCAUCCGCACUCAAGGGGUGCGUUUGGGCGCUCCAGUGCUCCCAAACGGUCUCCGAUCUCCCCAGCCUUCCAAGAUGCGUCCUAAUGUUGCCGUUUCACAGAUGUGGAAACUGAGGUUCCAAGAGGAGCAGUCUGUGGUCUCCAAACUUUACCUUGGAAAGGAACCUCAACUGCCACGUGAAGGUUGCAGACAGGGCAGGGAUUAGGGGCCAGUCUGAGGGGGAUGCUUGGAAAUCCACUUUAACUUUUAAAUGUCUGUGAAUUGAGGAUUGUGCCCUCUAUGUGUUCGUGACAUUUUAAAAAUAAUAAAACACUGUUUUAUGUUGGUA